UACGGUAAUAUCACGUUGAUACACAAGUUUUCGUACGAUCACCGAAGUUAAGCAACGUCGAGUCAGGUCAGUACCUAGAUGGGUGAUCGCUUAGGGAUACCAGGCGCUGUAA